rnacentral:rRNA from 1 species
UACGAAGGGGGCUAGCGUUGUUCGGAAUCACUGGGCGUAAAGGGCGCGUAGGCGGCCUGAUAAGUCGGGGGUGAAAGCCUGUGGCUCAACCACAGAAUUGCCUUCGAUACUGUUAGGCUUGAGACCGGAAGAGGUAAGUGGAACUGCGAGUGUAGAGGUGAAAUUCGUAGAUAUUCGCAAGAACACCAGUGGCGAAGGCGGCUUACUGGUCCGGUUCUGGACGCUGAGGCGGCGAAAGCGUGGGGAGCAAACAGG